rnacentral:rRNA from 1 species
AGUGAACGCUGGCGGUAGGCCUAACACAUGCAAGUCGAACGGCAGCACAGUAAGAGCUUGCUCUUACGGGUGGCGAGUGGCGGACGGGCGAGGAAUACAUCGGAAUCUACUUUUUCGUGGGGGAUAACGUAGGGAAACUUACGCUAAUACCGCAUACGACCUACGGGUGAAAGCAGGGGAUCUUCGGACCUUGCGCGAUUGAAUGAGCCGAUGUCGGAUUAGCUAGUUGGCGGGGUAAAGGCCCACCAAGGCGACGAUCCGCAGCUGGUCUGAGAGGAUGAUCAGCCACACUGGAACUGAGACACGGUCCAGACUCCUACGGGAGGCAGCAGUGGGGAAUAUUGGACAAUGGGCGCAAGCCUGAUCCAGCCAUACCGCGUGGGUGAAGAAGGCCUUCGGGUUGUAAAGCCCUUUUGUUGGGAAAGAAAAGCAGCAGGUUAAUACCCCGCUGUUCUGACGGUACCCAAAGAAUAAGCACCGGCUAACUUUGUG